CUGUGUGAGGGUGUGUUGGCGCAUGCCUGUAAUCCCAGAACUUGGGAGGCUGAGGCAGGAGGAUCACUGUGAGUUUGAGACCAGCCUGGGAUACAUAGUGAGUUCCAGGUCAGUCUCAAUUACAUAGUGAGACUCAAAACAAAACAAAACAAAAAAACUAAACUGUGUGAGUCUUAAGUUGUCUUUAAUGCCCCUGCUUGUACUGUGAAUUCACUGGGUCUUGGGCUUUUCUGAAUCUCUUCUGCUUGUGUCUAGAGGAUCAUGGAAUUAAAUCCACAGCAUAAGUAUGGGCUCCAAAUACUGCAGAGGAAGGAGAAACAGAGGUUCUCUGAUGAAUAUUAAGUCCAGGCAUCACAACCACAGACAAGGUUGGAAGAAGCUUCUGCUUCCUAACAACUCUCAUAAGCCAUGUCCAACAAAAAGGUCCUGGCAUCAAGAGGCAGAAAAUGAAAAAUCCAGGGCUGGCUUGACCAUUACCCAAGAGCCCAAGGUCUUCACCCUUUCCAAGGCUCCAUCUCCUCCACAGGAAUAUGGAAGUAGCAAUGUCUGCUCUGCUUACCUUCCUGGAUGGUUAUGAGAACACCACAAAAGAACAGCUGGGGUGCUGCUCAGCAGUAGAACACUUACCUAGCUAUACAAGAAGCCCUGAGUUCAAUCCAGCACCGCAAAAUAUUUUAAAAUGACAAAUGAACAAAUAUGAAAGUACCCUAAAAGUUUCAAAGACCAC
rnacentral:lncRNA from 1 species